rnacentral:lncRNA from 1 species
GGAGUCCUCCCACAGAGGCAACUUGAGCCUCAACUUGGCAGAAUAUGAAACAGCCUUGGCCAUCCCUUUCUCUGCAAGUUUCUCUUUAAUUGCAGAAAUCUGGGUGGCCUUCGCACGAGUUGUUUGUACAGCCACGGAAAAGAGAUAAGUUUGGUAACCUUGGAAAACCCGAUCUCUUUUUUUUCCCAGCCUCCUGAGAAGCAAGGUCCAGAGGAACAAACACUGUGCGUGGGAAACCAGAGAGGGGCUCUGGAGGAGGGGACGGAAGAGGCCAGAAACGGGGUGGCUUUUCUGAAGACUCCUGGGAGAGUCUGCUUCCCUCUGGAGAUUGCUCCUUCUCUCUCUCUUUGGCUGGCCAACUCCUGGUGAUCUCCUGGGACUCAAGACACCUGACCUUCUCAAGAAGGCUUUUCUGACUUUCCCUGCUCCUCUCCUAAGGCUUGAUUUCAUAACACCUUGUACUGUAUAGCAAUGAUUAUGGUUGUGAUUUAACCUGAAGGCAAGGACUGUGCCCACUGCCGUUGCUCACCCCCAC